CUUGGUCAUUUAGAGGAAGUAAAAGUCGUAACAAGGUCUCCGUAGGUGAACCUGCGGAGGGAUCAUUAAUGAAUGGCCAUUCGUGGCCUUCGACCCUUCAAAACCGUGGAGGCAUAGUGUGCUUCGGCGCUUUGGCGCCGCCUUUAUGCUGUAGAGUCUGUGUCUGAAUCCAAAACAUAGUUUAAAACUUUCAACAAAGGAUCUCUUGGCUCUCGCAUCGAUGAAGAACGCAGCGAAGCGCGAAAUGUAGUGUGAAUCGCAGAACAUUGUGAAUCAUCGAAUCUUUGAACGCACAUUGCGCCUCCCUUAACCGGGGGGCAUGCCUGUCUGAGCGUCAUUUAAACCUAUGGACCCGAAUGGGUUCCGUGUUGGGCCUCGCCUCUCUUCAAGGCGUCGCCUCGAAGGCAUCGGUUUCACAGAGCGGACAAGAUCCUUAUGGACUGACCGUUUCGUGACCGGAGUUUGACUCUGACUUGACCUCAGAUCAGGUAGGGACACCGCCUGAACUUAAGCAUAUCAAUAAGGCGAGGAACAGAAACCAACCGGGAUUCCCCCAGUAGUGGCGAAUGAAGCGGGAAAAGCUCAAAUUUGAAAUCUGGCUCUUUCAGGGUCCGAGUUGUAAUUUGUAGAAGAUGCUUCGGGUGUGGUACCGGUCUAAGUUCCUUGGAACAGGACGUCAUAGAGGGUGAGAAUCCCGUAUGUGACUGGUCACCUUCGCCCAUGUGAAGCUCUUUCGACGAGUCGAGUUGUUUGGGAAUGCAGCUCAAAAUGGGUGGUAAAUUUCAUCUAAAGCUAAAUAUUGGCCAGAGACCGAUAGCGCACAAGUAGAGUGAUCGAAAGAUGAAAAGCACUUUGGAAAGAGAGUUAAACAGUACGUGAAAUUGUUGAAAGGGAAGCGCUUGCAACCAGACUUGCACGUAGUUAAUCAUCCGGGGUUCUCCCCAGUGCACUUGGCUACGUUCAGGCCAGCAUCGGUUUCGGUGGUUGGAUAAAGGCUUAGGGAAUGUGGCUCUCUUCGGGGAGUGUUAUAGCCCUAGGUGCAAUGCAGCCCACCGGGACCGAGGACCGCGCUUCGGCUAGGAUGCUGGCGUAAUGGUUGUAAGCGACCCGUCUUGAAACACGGACC
rnacentral:rRNA from 1 species